CGCGUAGGCGGUGCGGUAAGUCACCUGUGAAACCUCCGGGCUCAACUCGGAGCCUGCAGGCGAAACUGCCGUGCUGGAGUGUGGGAGGGGUGCGUGGAAUUCCCGGUGUAGCAGUGAAAUGCAUAGAGAUCGGGAGGAACACCUGUGGCGAAAGCGGCGCACUGGACCACAACUGACGCUGAGGCGCGAAAGCUAGGGGAGCAAACAGGAUUAGAUACCCUGGUAGUCCUAGCCCUAAACGAUGGAUGCUUGGUGUAGCCGGUACCCAAUCCGGCUGUGCCGCAGCUAACGCGAUAAGCAUCCCGCCUGGGGAGUACGGUCGCAAGGCUGAA
rnacentral:rRNA from 1 species